GCGAGUGAAGCGGCAAGAGCUCAAAUUUGGAAUCGCGCGAGCGAGUUGUAAACUGAAGGACGUGCCCUGGGGAGCCGUCCGGCCAAGUGCCUUGGAAGAGGCCGUCACAGAGGGUGAGAAUCCCGUGGGCCGGACACGCGAACCGUGCGGGCGCGCACCGACGAGUCGAGUUGUUUGGGAAUGCAGCUCUAAGUGGGUGGUAAAUUCCAUCUAAAGCUAAAUACGGGCGAGAGACCGAUAGCGAACAAGUACAGUGAUGGAAAGAUGAAAAGCACUUUGAAAAGAGAGUGAAACAGCACGUGAAAUUGUUGAAAGGGAAGGGCUUGGCCUCAGACGCGGCGCUGCUUCGGUGGCGCCGGGCCAGCAUGGGCUCGCGCGGCACGACAAUGGCGGGGGAAGGUGGCUCUCCGGAGUGUUAUAGCCCCCGCGGAUGGUGCCAGUGCGGGCCGAGGACUGCGCAUUGCAAGGAUGCUGGCGUAAUGAUGUCAAGCCGCCC
rnacentral:rRNA from 1 species